UACGUAGGGGGCAAGCGUUGUCCGGAAUCAUUGGGCGUAAAGAGCGUGUAGGCGGUCCGGUAAGUCGGCUGUGAAAGUCCAAGGCUCAACCUUGGGAUGCCGGUCGAUACCGCCGGACUAGAGUUCGGAAGAGGCGAGUGGAAUUCCCGGUGUAGCGGUGAAAUGCGCAGAUAUCGGGAGGAACACCUAUGGCGAAGGCAGCUCGCUGGGACGUUACUGACGCUGAGACGCGAAAGCGUGGGGAGCAAACAGG
rnacentral:rRNA from 1 species